rnacentral:rRNA from 1 species
UGGGGAAUAUUGGACAAUGGGGGCAACCCUGAUCCAGCAAUGCCGCGUGGGCGAUGAAGGCCUUCGGGUUGUAAAGCCCUUUUGCACGCGACGAUGAUGACGGUAGCGUGAGAAGAAGCCCCGGCUAACUUCGUGCCAGCAGCCGCGGUAAUACGAAGGGGGCGAGCGUUGUUCGGAAUUACUGGGCGUAAAGGGCGCGCAGGCGGCCUUAGAAGUCAGAUGUGAAAGCCCCGGCGUCAACCAUGGGAAUGGCAUUUGAUACUCUGAGGCUGGAGUACGGGAGAGGAGAGUGGAAUUCCCAGUGUAGAGGUGAAAUUCGUAGAUAUUGGGAAGAACACCGGUGGCGAAGGCGGCUCUCUGGACCGUAACUGACGCUGAGGCGCGAAAGCGUGGGGAGCAAAAACA